rnacentral:rRNA from 1 species
GCAUAUCAAUAAGCGGAGGAAAAGAAACUAACUAGGAUUCCCUUAGUAACGGCGAGUGAACCGGGAUGAGCUCAAAUUUGAAAUCUGGCGUCUUUCAGGCGUCCGAGUUGUAAUCUAUAGAGGCGUUUUCCGCGCCGGACCGCGUCCAAGUCUCUUGGAAUAGAGUAUCAAAGAGGGUGACAAUCCCGUACUUGACGCGACAACCGGUGCUCUGUGAUACGUUCUCAAUGAGUCGAGUUGUUUGGGAAUGCAGCUCUAAAUGGGUGGUAAAUUCCAUCUAAGGCUAAAUAUUGGCGAGAGACCGAUAGCGAACAAGUACCGUGAGGGAAAGAUGAAAAGCACUUUGGAAAGAGAGUUAAACAGCACGUGAAAUUGUUAAAAGGGAAACGAUUGAAGUCAGUCGUGUGGGAAGUAUUCAGCCGUCUCUGGCGGUGUAUUUGCUUCUCACGGGUCAACAUCAGUUUGAUCCGGUAGAAAAAGGCGGGAAGAAGGUGGCACCCUCGGGUGUGUUAUAGCUUCCUGUCAUAUGUGCCGGACCAGACUGAGGAACGCAGCUUGCAGCAAUGCCGGGGUUCGCCCACGUACAAGCUUAGGAUGUUGACAU